GUAAAUAUAAGUACAAGACUUGACUCACUUAAAUUUAUUUGAUUAAUUCUUUAUAGGAAAAGAAAAGAGGGUCCAGGACAUAGCCACAUGGGAUAUCUAUGAUUACAGGAUGUGACCUGAAUGAAUACUAAGCAAAAGGGACUGAGAUUGAAAAGUCAGAUAGGUAGAUAAACAACUAGGAGAGUAGUAUUCUGAAAAAAUAGAGAGAAGAGAAUAUCAAGGAGAAGAGAGAGAAUGGCAGUGUUAAAGGCUUCAGAGAGAGCAAGAUUCCUCACCCCUCACUCGGUUCUGAGAAGUUCUGGGCUCUGCUUGUUAAAGGAUUCCAAUCGGACCUUCACAAUGAAGCUCAUCACAGGUCUCUUCCUCAUCUCCUUUAUCUUGUCUGUUGACAGUUCUAAGAUGGACAUAAUCAUCAGUGCAGCUGAAACUGGUAAGGCUGUGUUAAAUUGUAAGAGUCUAGUAUACCUGGCAAAUCCCAGAGCUUGGAGAACCCACUGCCUUUGCAAACCUGUGAAUGAUGGGAGAAGGCAAACUAUUUUUCCUAGAUAAUAAUAGUCCUCUCAGAGAGUAUGGUUUAUACCAGAGCAAGGAGUGCUAUGGAAUCUUGGCACAUAAAUCCUUGGCCACCAGUGGAUAUAGUGUUGAGUCCCUCAAGAAAGAAACUACUGUGUUAGGGCAGAUUUUUCUAUUCUUAGCACUUUCUAAGAAAAAUAUUGGCAAGAGGCUAAAAUGACAAUACAAAUUGUGAUUAGAGGAUCCAGCAUUUAAUAGUUUCACAAAGAAAGAUCCCUAUUUUAUGUUUCAUUUUGACAUGUCAUUUCCAAUGGGUGCCAUUAGUUUAGAAUAUGCUUCAGUGCCAUCCAUAAGGAUAAAUCUUCCACCUAGAAUGUUUCCUUCCCCAAAAGGGCAAGGUAUUUGUUUUUAGAUCCCUGCUUGUGACUCAAGAUUCCUCUGUCAUGUCUCUUCCCUUCUUAGCUGCACUUAUUGUGAAGGAAAGUUGUCAGAAAUAUUGUGAUGGAGAGAUAGAAAUUGAAGAUACUAUACCUGAAGGUGCUGAUCCAGAAGAAUACAACAGGUAUGAAUUUGGGCAUGAUUCUGACAAUGGAGAAGAUCUGGGUUAUCAUAGGACUAUGAGAGAUAGAGAAAAGUCCAUAUAUAAUUAGUACAAAUAUUCUUUGUCCUGUGUAUUUCCCAAAGUGUCUGUUGCAGGGUACUGGGUUGUGAUCUUAUAUCUGACAGUCUAAAAAAGACAGAGGCAGGACUUGGUGUGUUAUUGGAACUAACAUAUCUAUUCCCUAAUCAAUAGGAAGAAUCAAGGAAUGACACUGAUUUUAAUCUUUUUUGUUCUUAACAGACCCUUAAAAAUGAA
rnacentral:lncRNA from 1 species